rnacentral:rRNA from 1 species
GACGAACGCUGGCGGCGUGCUUAACACAUGCAAGUCGAGCGGAAAGGCCCUUCGGGGUACUCGAGCGGCGAACGGGUGAGUAACACGUGAGUAAUCUGCCCCAGGCUCUGGGAUAGCCACCGGAAACGGUGAUUAAUACCGGAUACGACAACCGAUUGCAUGAUCUGGUUGUGGAAAGUUUUUCGGCCUGGGAUGUGCUCGCGGCCUAUCAGCUUGUUGGUGAGGUAAUGGCUCACCAAGGCUUCGACGGGUAGCCGGCCUGAGAGGGUGACCGGCAACACUGGGACUGAGACACGGCCCAGACUUCUACGGGAGGCAGCAGUGGGGAAUAUUGGACAAUGGGCGGAAGCCUGAUCCAGCAACGCCGCGUGAGGGAUGACGGCCUUCGGGUUGUAAACCUCUUUCAGCACAGACGAAGCGCAAGUGACGGUAUGUGCAGAAGAAGGACCGGCCAACUACGUGCCAGCAGCCGCGGUAAAAC